AUGCGAUCUUUGCUCCUUCUCCUCUUACCGCUCCUUUCGGUAUCAAUUCCACUUGGGAAACAGACCGGUUACGACGAUGCAGAAGCCAGAAGACUUGUAAAACUGGCAGCAGCAGCGUAUGGGGAACGACAUGUUUCUUGUAUUAACAAAGCCUUCGGGAACGGAGAAAAUUUUCAUAUUGAAAAUAUCGAGCAAAAGAGUUGCGAUCACUUGGAUAGUACCUGUGCGUCGUUUACAGUCGUCUCCGAAAAUGCACGACGAAUUAUUGUGGUGUUCCGAGGAACACGAUCUAAGUCUCAACUAUUCCUAGAAGGAUGGCAGUCCGUCGGAACCGGAAUUGAUUUCUUUGACAUGGGAGAAGUCAAUAGAUAUUUCCUAAAUGCGCAUUUGGUACUUUGGCCGGAAAUUGAGAAAGUCAUUACGAAUCCAAGAUGGGCGGUCAGUUUUUUUAAAAAAUUAUUUCGCAUUUCAAUUAGUUCUAUUUAAUUAUGUGCUCUCGUAUAUUCGGAAAUUCGGACAAAUUUUCAUGAUUCGAAAUUGCAAGUAGAUAUUUUGAAAACCGGCAAUAGUCAAUAUUGUCGAUUGCCGAAUAUUUCAAAAAUCGUUAAUUGCCAAAAUCGCCGGUUUUCAGAAUUUAUUAAAGGUGGAGUAGCGCCAGUGGAGAAAUCGUUAAAAACCACUCCUUUGGUCCCAAAAUGACCUAAUAUCACAAUAAAACGUUUCAAACAAUUUUUGCAAAUUUUUUAUUUACUGUCAAAAAGUGACAAUUACUCCGUUUUUGCCACUCAUAAUUUUGGAAGUCGACCAAAAAAAAUUUUUUUUUCUACAAUUUUUAUACUGUUAAUUUGUUUUAAUUAUUUGGAUUAGAACAUUGUAGGGGUCGGAACAUGCGAUGAAGCUUUGGAUUUCCUCAAAAACUCAUAUUUUUCCGAAUUUCGGCAAUUUGCCAAAACUUCGACCAGAAAUUAUGAAAAAUCUAAAAUUUUUUGGAAUAUUUUAUUAUGAUAUUCGGUCAUUUUGGAUUAUUGAUUUUCUCUAUUUUACAAAAAAAAUUCCAGAACUUCGAUAUCACCUUCACCGGUCACUCCCUCGGUGGAGCUCUUGCUUCUCUCGCAGCCGCCCGUACCGCAAAACAAGGCUUCCGAUCUGGCUCUCAAAUUAAAGUCUACACCUUCGGCCAGCCACGUGUCGGAAAUGUGCAAUUCGCUCGCAACUUUGACGCGAUUCUCCCGAACACUUAUCGAGUGGUCUUCCGACGAGACAUCGUUCCACAUAUGCCAGCGUGUCACAAGAAUCAGACAUUCAUCUCGGAGCACGAAGGUGGAGCAAAGCCGUGUCACGCAGAGCACCAGGAUUAUUAUCAUCAUGGAACGGAGAUUUGGUAUCCGGACGAGAUGAGCGCUGGAGCACAUUAUGUCGAGUGCCUAGGGGCUCCGAAGAAUGAAGAUUUUGGAUGCUCGGAUAGAAUCAAGUUUUUUGUUGAUCAAUCUGAUACGUACACCUGGGAUCAUCGACAUUAUUUUGGAGUCAAGGUACCACCAUAUGGAAAAACCGGAUGCGAUGAUCUACUUCCCGAAGGAAAACCAACAGUUUUUGAAAAUGUUGUGAAGCGGCUCAAUUUGCUCACAAGAACCAUUGGUUUGGAUUAA
rnacentral:misc_RNA from 1 species